UAGGGAAUAUUGGGCAAUGGGCGAAAGCCUGACCCAGCGACGCCGCGUGCGGGAGGACGCCCCUCGGGGUGUAAACCGCUGUCAGAGGGGACGAAUGUCCGGCCGGUGAAUAAUCGGUCGGAGUGACGGUACCCUCAGAGGAAGCACCGGCUAACUCUGUGCCAGCAGCCGCGGUAAUACAGAGGGUGCAAGCGUUGUUCGGAAUCACUGGGCGUAAAGCGCGCGCAGGCGGAUAGAGCAAGUCUGGAGUGAAAUCUCGCCGCUCAACGGCGGGGCUGCUUUGGAUACUGCAUAUCUGGAGAUCGGUAGAGGCUGGUAGAAUUGCUGGUGUAGCGGUGGAAUGCGUAGAGAUCAGCAAGAAUACCCGUGGCGAAGGCGGCCAGCUGGGCCGAAUCUGACGCUGAGGCGCGAAAGCGUGGGGAGCAAACAGGAUUAGAUACCCUGGUAGUCCACGCCGUAAACGAUGGGCACUAGGUGCCGGGGGGAGCGACCCCUUCGGUGUCGUAGCUAACGCGAUAAGUGCCCCGCCUGGGGAGUACGGCCGCAAGGCUG
rnacentral:rRNA from 1 species